UCCCAGCUUCAAAAAAACAGCCCUCAACUGUAACUUCUGUAACUCUCCACUACUUGCCCCAAACCUGUAAAACCAACUCCUAUCCCUCUAUCCUCUGCUGACUCUCUUUUCGACUCAGCCCACCCACACCCAUGUGAAUAAACAGCCAUGUUGCUCAUACAAAGCCUGUUUGUGGGGGGGGUCUCUUCAUUCAGAGUGCACAUUUUAACAUGUAGUAUAUUUGCAAAGUUACAUAGCCAUCACCGCUAACUAAUUUCAGAACAUUUCGUCACCUGCACCCACUACCCUGAAAAAGAAAAAACAUGCUUAUUAGCAAUCACUCCACUUUUCCUUUACUCCCAGCUCCUGGAAGCAACUCAUCUACUUUCUGUCUCUACAGAUUUGCAUAUUCUGAACAUUUCAUAUAAAUGAAAUUAUAUAUUUGUCCUUUUGUGUCUGUCUUUUUUCACUUAGCAAAAUGUUUUCAAGGCUUAUGUGAUUGUGGCAUUAAUCAGUGCAGUUGACCCUUGAACAAUAUAGGAGUUAGGGACACUGAACUUUGGCGCUGUCAAAAAUUCAAGUAUAAUUUUUGGCUCCCACAAACUUCACUACUAAUAGCUACUGUUGACCAGAUGCCUUACUGAUAACAUAAACAAUAGAAAACAUAUGUUAUAUGUUAAAUGUAUUACACAAUACGAUCAGUAAAAUAUAUUUGUCUUACAAUGAAGUAAGCCAGAAGAAAGAAAAUGUUAUUAAGAAAAUCACAAGGAAGAGAAGAAAGAAAAUAAGGAAUGCAAAGAAGGCAAAUGAUCCUCUUUUAUUUUGGCUAUUGACAAGUUAUUGUAUCCUGUAAUACCUGUAGCUCUAAUUGCAAAAGUCCAAGUUGGAAGAGGAAGCUGAGCAAAGACCUAAUUGCAUCUGGUGACUAGCUUCAGCCUGAUCCUAUGAGGAGCUCCAGAGCAAGAAUUGUGCCACAGAAUUUGUACCAUCUUGAGGCAAGGGAGCCAUAUUUUUGUAUCCCAUGUUAGCCUUCUGAGGAGGGGAAUCAUCCCCCAGGGAAGAGGGCUCCCAUUGAUUGGGGGCAAAUCUCCAGAGGAGACAGCUGACUAACAUUCACAGCAGCUAGGAGUUAAGCAUGCCUUUCAUUAAUGUGGAUCUGAGAAGGACACCAGCAACACCACUGCAGUCGGGGCAGCACUACAUGCUGCUCAGAUCCACCUGAUUCUCACAUUACCUCUCUUCCUUCCAGGCACAACUUCUCCAACAUUUCUACCACAUAAACAUGCUGGGAGAACUUGAAAGAGAAGGUUGAUGGAUUAGACUACAGUCCCAAAUGCUACAAUUGAUUCCAAGGUUGUAAGUGAUAUUCAUUGUCUCUUCCUCCUCCACACAGGGCAUAUUUCCUUUCAUUCGGCCAGCACUGGUGCUGAUCUAGGUGGUUUGCAUUGUGGGCCCACAUCCCCGUGGAGUCUGAGUCCCUAGUGACCAUGUCUUUAUCAGGCUGGGCUUACUAUGGGUGUAUUUACACUUAAAAGCGGGCAUGGGAAAACCAAAAGAUGCCAAGAUGGAUCAACUUAAUGACAAAAAUAUUCUCCACGCCUCUAUUAUGUAGCAGCAGCUAAACCUGCUGAUGACUGGGGUAACUUACUCUCUAAUAUGUAACUAUUUUCCUAGCCAGCUGGUCUC
rnacentral:lncRNA from 1 species